GGGUUGUGAGGUUAAGCGACUAAGCGUACACGGUGGAUGCCCUGGCAGUCAGAGGCGAUGAAGGGCGUGCUAAUCUGCGAUAAGCGCCGGUAAGGUGAUAUGAACCGUUAUAACCGGCGAUACCCGAAUGGGGAAACCCAGUGUGACUCGUCACACUAUCAUUAACUGAAUCCAUAGGUUAAUGAGGCGAACCGGGGGAACUGAAACAUCUAAGUACCCCGAGGAAAAGAAAUCAACCGAGAUUCCCCCAGUAGCGGCGAGCGAACGGGGAGGAGCCCAGAGCCUGAAUCAGCAUGUGUGUUAGUGGAAGCGUCUGGAAAGGCGCGCGAUACAGGGUGACAGCCCCGUACACAAAAGCGCAUGUGCUGUGAGCUCGAUGAGUAGGGCGGGACACGUGGUAUCCUGUCUGAAUAUGGGGGGACCAUCCUCCAAGGCUAAAUACUCCUGACUGACCGAUAGUGAACCAGUACCGUGAGGGAAAGGCGAAAAGAACCCCGGCGAGGGGAGUGAAAAAGAACCUGAAACCGUGUACGUACAAGCAGUGGGAGCACAGGUUUACCUGUGUGACUGCGUACCUUUUGUAUAAUGGGUCAGCGACUUAUAUUCUGUAGCAAGGUUAACCGAAUAGGGGAGCCGGAGGGAAACCGAGUCUUAAUUGGGCGUUAAGUUGCAGGGUAUAGACCCGAAACCCGGUGAUCUAGCCAUGGGCAGGUUGAAGGUUGGGUAACACUAACUGGAGGACCGAACCGACUAAUGUUGAAAAAUUAGCGGAUGACCUGUGGCUGGGGGUGAAAGGCCAAUCAAACCGGGAGAUAGCUGGUUCUCCCCGAAAGCUAUUUAGGUAGCGCCUCGUGAAUUCAUCUCCGGGGGUAGAGCACUGUUUCGGCUAGGGGGCCAUCCCGGCUUACCAACCCGAUGCAAACUGCGAAUACCGGAGAAUGUUAUCACGGGAGACACACGGCGGGUGCUAACGUCCGUCGUGAAGAGGGAAACAACCCAGACCGCCAGCUAAGGUCCCAAAGUCAUGGUUAAGUGGGAAACGAUGUGGGAAGGCCCAGACAGCCAGGAUGUUGGCUUAGAAGCAGCCAUCAUUUAAAGAAAGCGUAAUAGCUCACUGGUCGAGUCGGCCUGCGCGGAAGAUGUAACGGGGCUAAACCAUGCACCGAAGCUGCGGCAGCGACGCUUAUGCGUUGUUGGGUAGGGGAGCGUUCUGUAAGCCUGCGAAGGUGGCCUGUGAGGGUUGCUGGAGGUAUCAGAAGUGCGAAUGCUGACAUAAGUAACGAUAAAGCGGGUGAAAAGCCCGCUCGCCGGAAGACCAAGGGUUCCUGUCCAACGUUAAUCGGGGCAGGGUGAGUCGACCCCUAAGGCGAGGCCGAAAGGCGUAGUCGAUGGGAAACGGGUUAAUAUUCCCGUACUUGGUGUUACUGCGAAGGGGGGACGGAGAAGGCUAUGUUGGCCGGGCGACGGUUGUCCCGGUUUAAGCGUGUAGGUGUGUGUUCCAGGUAAAUCCGGUUCACUUUAACACUGAGGCGUGACGACGAGGCACUACGGUGCUGAAGCAACAAAUGCCCUGCUUCCAGGAAAAGCCUCUAAGCAUCAGGUAACAUCAAAUCGUACCCCAAACCGACACAGGUGGUCAGGUAGAGAAUACCAAGGCGCUUGAGAGAACUCGGGUGAAGGAACUAGGCAAAAUGGUGCCGUAACUUCGGGAGAAGGCACGCUGACACGUAGGUGAAGUGAUUUACUCAUGGAGCUGAAGUCAGUCGAAGAUACCAGCUGGCUGCAACUGUUUAUUAAAAACACAGCACUGUGCAAACACGAAAGUGGACGUAUACGGUGUGACGCCUGCCCGGUGCCGGAAGGUUAAUUGAUGGGGUCAGCGCAAGCGAAGCUCCUGAUCGAAGCCCCGGUAAACGGCGGCCGUAACUAUAACGGUCCUAAGGUAGCGAAAUUCCUUGUCGGGUAAGUUCCGACCUGCACGAAUGGCGUAAUGAUGGCCAGGCUGUCUCCACCCGAGACUCAGUGAAAUUGAACUCGCUGUGAAGAUGCAGUGUACCCGCGGCAAGACGGAAAGACCCCGUGAACCUUUACUAUAGCUUGACACUGAACAUUGAGCCUUGAUGUGUAGGAUAGGUGGGAGGCUUUGAAGUGUGGACGCCAGUCUGCAUGGAGCCGACCUUGAAAUACCACCCUUUAAUGUUUGAUGUUCUAACGUGGACCCGUUACCCGGGUUGCGGACAGUGUCUGGUGGGUAGUUUGACUGGGGCGGUCUCCUCCUAAAGAGUAACGGAGGAGCACGAAGGUUGGCUAAUCCUGGUCGGACAUCAGGAGGUUAGUGCAAUGGCAUAAGCCAGCUUGACUGCGAGCGUGACGGCGCGAGCAGGUGCGAAAGCAGGUCAUAGUGAUCCGGUGGUUCUGAAUGGAAGGGCCAUCGCUCAACGGAUAAAAGGUACUCCGGGGAUAACAGGCUGAUACCGCCCAAGAGUUCAUAUCGACGGCGGUGUUUGGCACCUCGAUGUCGGCUCAUCACAUCCUGGGGCUGAAGUAGGUCCCAAGGGUAUGGCUGUUCGCCAUUUAAAGUGGUACGCGAGCUGGGUUUAGAACGUCGUGAGACAGUUCGGUCCCUAUCUGCCGUGGGCGCUGGAGAACUGAGGGGGGCUGCUCCUAGUACGAGAGGACCGGAGUGGACGCAUCACUGGUGUUCGGGUUGUCAUGCCAAUGGCACUGCCCGGUAGCUAAAUGCGGAAGAGAUAAGUGCUGAAAGCAUCUAAGCACGAAACUUGCCCCGAG
rnacentral:rRNA from 3 species